rnacentral:rRNA from 1 species
UACGAAGGGGGCUAGCGUUGCUCGGAAUCACUGGGCGUAAAGCGCACGUAGGCGGAUUCUUAAGUCGGUGGUGAAAUCCUGGAGCUCAACUCCAGAACUGCCUUCGAUACUGGGAGUCUCCGAGUCCGGGAGAGGUGAGUGGAACUGCGAGUGUAGAGGUGAAAUUCGUAGAUAUUCGCAAGAACACCAGUGGCGAAGGCGGCUCACUGGCCCGGUACUGACGCUGAGGUGCGAAAGCGUGGGGAGCAAACAGG